rnacentral:tRNA from 1 species
GCCGCGUUAGCUCAGAUGGCAGAGCAUCGCUCUUGUAAAGCGAAUGUCGAGAGUUCGAUUCUCUCACGCGGCUC